rnacentral:rRNA from 1 species
CGGGACGGGUGAGUAACGUGUGGGCAACCUGCCCUAUACUGGGGAAUAAUCACUGGAAACGGUGACUAAUACCGCAUGUCAUUACGGAAGGGCAUCCUUCUGUAAGAAAAGGAGUAAUUCGGUAUAGGAUGGGCCCGCAUCUGAUUAGCUAGUUGGUGAGAUAACAGCCCACCAAGGCGACGACCAGUAGCCGACCUGAGAGGGUGAUCGGCCACAUUGGGACUGAGACACGGCCCAA